UGAGUAACACGUAUGCAACCUGCCUGCCACAGCCGGAUAAUCGGGAGAAAUUCCGUCUAAUACGGCAUAAUGCAUCGACGGGACAUCCUGUUGGUGCCAAAGGUUAAUUCCGGUGGCGGAUGGGCAUGCGUCGCAUUAGUUAGUUGGCGGUGUAACGGACCACCAAGACGACGAUGCGUAGGGGUUCUGAGAGGAAGGUCCCCCACACUGGUACUGAGACACGGCCCAGACUCCUACGGAAGGCAGCAG
rnacentral:rRNA from 1 species